rnacentral:lncRNA from 1 species
GAAGUUUUGACCACUCUGGUUUGAGAAGGCAAGAAUUUACUUUUCCAGAUAAAGAACAGUAAAGGGGCCUUGCGUUGUCCUGUGGAGGACAAUGAACUACUGGCCGCCAAAUGAUGGGAGAGCAAUGUUUGAUGCUGAGAAGGCCUUGCUGGAAAUGCCCGCUGAGAGAAAAUGCUCGGCAAAGCAGCCGAGAGUGUUUCAGUGUGUUAUGGUUCAUGCUGGCACGGAAAACAUCAGAUUGGAGAGAGACCUGUGCUAAGACUGGGAGCGCCUGGAACACCGAAACUGCAGCGGGCAACGCCAUAUCCGUGUACUGACUGGAAGAGCUACUGGCCCUGCUGAGAUGCAUUAAGCAUGUAGCAAGAAGAAAGAAGAGAUGUGCACUGAUGGUACAAGGACUCGUUCAGUGCACAUUUGACAAGACUGGAUUCAGUGAGAGAGGCUGUCUUCACAGAUGAAUUAACCAUGCAUGCCUGUCCAGUGCAGCAAACCUUUCUUCUAAUCCCCRCAUGACUGCGGUGUUAAAUACAGAAUAUCUGAUGAUAUAAGACAAGAGUCUGCCUUCAGAGUCUAGGUUUUGAGUCUACCAAACUCAUUCCCAUUUUUUAAACUACCAUAAACUUGAAUGAGGUGAUGGGAAUACAGAGGAAAGGAAGCCGUGACCUGACACUACCCUGCACGGCUGGAUUUUUGGGGUGGGAACUGCAUGCUCUGGCUCUUAAGACAUAUUGGAGUGGCUGCAUUCCCUUAGAGCUCCCAGAACCAAUACUCUGCGCAUACACAGAUUGCUUGGUUAACACUCUUUUCUGGUACUCACAGUAACUACUUCAAUACAGCAUUACCCAGCAGCUUUCUGAGAAGUCGUUUACUUGUAAAAAUCCAAUGAACAUCUGAUGGGACAUGGCAAUUUCUUGUGUCUGUCAGUCUUAUUCAGUUGUCAAUGCACAGCAUGUUGCAGAAGCAUUUCCAAUAGUGGGAAGUAAAGUCCUGUUAAUCUCUGUAAAACCCAGAAAUAGUUCCUCAAUCAUCUCAAUGUAAUGGGUGAUUCUCCUGCUAAGAUAGCAGUGUCUACAAAUUUAAGGUAGCUGUGAAUUCAACAGAAUACUAACUGAGAUACAGAGGCUUUCACGGCACGAUCU